rnacentral:rRNA from 1 species
CAGCAGCAGCCGCGGGAAUACGAAGGGGGCUAGCGUUGCUCGGAAUCACUGGGCGUAAAGGGUGCGUAGGCGGGUCUUUAGGUCAGGGGUGAAAUCCUGGAGCUCAACUCCAGAACUGCCUUUGAUACUGAAGAUCUUGAGUUCGGGAGAGGUGAGUGGAACUGCGAGUGUAGAGGUAAAAUUCGUAGAUAUUCGCAAGAACACCAGUGGCGAAGGCGGCUCACUGGCCCGAUACUGACGCUGAGGCACGAGAGCGUGGGGAGCAAACAGGAUUAGAGACCCCUGUAGUCCCUGUCUCUUAUAC